GAACACUCAACCACUAAAAGGACGACAGUAACAGUUGCAAUCACUAAAUCUCAGAGCAGAGCUUCGACAGGUAAAGGCCCAGCAAUCAUUGCUGGAGUUGUUGUUUCUGUCAUUAUCCUGAUAAUUGCUGUGGUGAUCAUCAGAUGGAGAGCAAAGGGAAAGAAAACACAGACUGAUGAAAAUGCUGUUGAUCUUAAAGAGAACGUUUACUACUCCACCAUCAAACAUCCACAGAAAACCAAUGUCAAUGCUAAGGAUGCUGGGGAUCCUGAUACAGUGUACUACAGCACUGUGAGAGCCUCUCCCUCCUCUGCUGCAGCCUCUAAUGAUCCCAACAGCCUCUAUAGUGUUAUAACCUCCAUCAACUGAAACUGCAAAGAAGACUAGCUCCAUCUAGUGGUAGCAGGGAAAUAUUGCAGCUCAAAGUUUCUCAAAGUCAAUUUAAAGGUACACUAUGCAACCGGUGUUGAU